CAGCAGAUCUCCAUUGUCUACC
rnacentral:miRNA from 10 species